GAAACCGAAACCGCUGUGCUGUGGGCGCAGCGCCGAGAUUGAUUCACCUUCACCUGUGCUGCACUCCAGCUGACCCAAGUAGGAAGCCAGACGAGCUGUAAAACAUGAACGGAAGAGUGGAUUAUUUGGUCACUGAGGAAGAGAUCAAUCUUACCAGAGGGCCCUCAGUUGCUGAUUGUUGGAGGUUCUUUUGGUCUUCGUGAGUUUUCUCAAAUCCGAUAUGAUGCUGUGAAGAGUAAAAUGGAUCCUGAGCUUGAAAAAAAACUGAAAGAGAAUAAAAUAUCUUUAGAGUCGGAAUAUGAGAAAAUCAAAGACUCCAAGUUUGAUGACUGGAAGAAUAUUCGAGGACCCAGGCCUUGGGAAGAUCCUGACCUCCUCCAAGGAAGAAAUCCAGAAAGCCU
rnacentral:lncRNA from 1 species